rnacentral:miRNA from 1 species
ACCUGUGUGUGUGUCUGUGUGUGUGUGUGUGUGUGUGUGUGUGUGUCUGUGUGCGAUGUCCACGGCUCAGCUGCCCACAGCCAGAC